CCUACGGGUGGCUGCAGUGGGGAAUAUUGCACAAUGGGGGAAACCCUGAUGCAGCGACGCCGCGUGAAGGAAGAAGUAUUUCGGUAUGUAAACUUCUAUCAGCAGGGAAGAAAAUGACGGUACCUGACUAAGAAGCCCCGGCUAACUACGUGCCAGCAGCCGCGGUAAUACGUAGGGGGCAAGCGUUAUCCGGAGUUACUGGGUGGAAAGGGAGCGUAGGCGGGUUAGCAAGUCAGAAGUGAAGGCCAGGGGCUCAACUCCGGGACUGCUUUUGAAACUGUUGAACUUGAUUGCAGGAGAGGUAAGUGGAAUUCCUAGUGUAGCGGUGAAAUGCGUAGAUAUUAGGAGGAACACCAGUGGCGAAGGCGGCUUACUGGACUGUAAAUGACGCUGAGGCUCGAAAGCGUGGGGAGCAAACAGGAUUAGAUACCCGAGUAGUC
rnacentral:rRNA from 1 species